rnacentral:rRNA from 1 species
UACGAAGGGGGCUAGCGUUGCUCGGAAUCACUGGGCGUAAAGCGCACGUAGGCGGCUUGUUAAGUCGGAGGUGAAAGCCCGGGGCUCAACUCCGGAAUUGCCUUUAAGACUGCAUCGCUAGAAUUGUGGAGAGGUAAGUGGAAUUCCGAGUGUAGAGGUGAAAUUCGUAGAUAUUCGGAAGAACACCAGUGGCGAAGGCGACUUACUGGACACAUAUUGACGCUGAGGUGCGAAAGCGUGGGGAGCAAACAGG